rnacentral:siRNA from 1 species
UCUCUGUGUCUUGUCUAACACA